rnacentral:misc_RNA from 1 species
CGAUACCAGCGCGAUAAAAGUAAAGUAAUUAACAGGGCCGCGAUGGUAUGAUAGCGAAAUGAUUAUGUUCGUUCUCGGUAUAACAGAGGGUAGGUGACACAAGACGCCAAAACGCAAUUAACUUGAUACAACUUUAAUUAAUGUAAUGCGUGCAGAGGGUGGAAUCGGGGUGUCUUAAUGAGUAUCCAGCUAAUUUACACGUGUUGGAGCAACACAGAGUCACCCUUCCACUCAAAAUUCCGGACGAAACCACAAACUCCGUCAGCCCUUUCGACGACAAAAGCGAAUCCCUGUUUCGACAUUUGCAAACGAGAACCCGUGGACUCGCAGUUGCAACAGUUAGCAGUGUCAGAGGGUCGCGCGAACGACGAUCGUGGCUCGUUAGAAAUCCGCAGUUGGUCCAUCGCUACGUGCAAAUUUGCUCGAUAAAGUGCGAACCUACUUUAUAGCGGGCAAGUUCCGGGGCUUUGCUUCGUCCUCCCUCGGCCUAACGUGUCUCUACGUGCGUCGAGUAUUAAACGUGGACCCGGUUAUCAUCUUUCAGUGAGGAAGGACGCGCGAGUAUCACGGAUUUACGCGCGGACUUUGCAGUUUCUCGCGGCUGUUCGGUCAAAUAUUGCGCUCCUCGAGGGAGCAGCCGUUUGCCAGAAACCUGGAACGCGCGUUAGACAGAAACGAUCAAGAGGCAAAGAGAUGUGAAAGCUAAAUGGCAGCGAGGAAGUUAAUGAUAG